rnacentral:rRNA from 1 species
AUUGAACGCUGGCGGCAUGCCUUACACAUGCAAGUCGAACGGCAGCGGGGACUUCGGUCCGCCGGCGAGUGGCGAACGGGUGAGUAAAGCAUCGGAACGUACCCGGAAGUGGGGGAUAACGUAGCGAAAGUUACGCUAAUACCGCAUAUUCUGUGAGCAGGAAAGAGGGGGAUCUUCGGACCUCUUGCUUUCGGAGCGGCCGAUGGCAGAUUAGCUAGUUGGUGAGGUAAGGGCUCACCAAGGCGACGAUCUGUAGCGGGUCUGAGAGGAUGAUCCGCCACGCUGGAACUGAGACACGGUCCAGACUCCUACGGGAGGCAGCAGUGGGGAAUUUUGGACAAUGGGCGCAAGCCUGAUCCAGCCAUGCCGCGUGAGUGAAGAAGGCCUUCGGGUUGUAAAGCUCUUUCGGCCGGGAAGAAAUCGCAUGGGUUAAUACCCUGUGCGGAUGACGGUACCGGCAUAAGAAGCACCGGCUAACUACGUGCCAGCAGCCGCCGUAAGAC